rnacentral:lncRNA from 1 species
CUUGACAUAACAGACCUGCUUCAGUUUAGCAUUCAAUCAUUUUUGAAAGUCUGUAACUCCAAAUACUGAAUCCUAGCUUUGGUCUGUAGCUUUUUCUGCUCUUCCAUGAUAAGAGAUAAGGGCCUCUUAGUAAGCUACGCAUCAGGCCCUCUAACCUUCAUAGUUUUCAGUUAGUUGUUAAUGACCCGCAGCUUUCAUUACCUGUCUAUAGGACAUCAAUGAAACUUAGUGACAACCAGCUGAUUCCACAGUCCUUGUUUGCGUUGAUCCCCCUUACUUUUCAAAUGCCAAAACACUAGCCAGGGUGGUCCCCUCUGCUAGAAUACUUUCCCAAGUCACCACUGAUAAAAGUUUAAGUAAUUGGUCCACUAUCUUGUGCUGUGGACUCUCAGUGCCCCACAUACCAUUUGAUUAUUAUUGACACUCAGACAGUGAGCAAUCCAGUCUCAAAACUCCAUUUUACCACCUGCUUUCUCACACUAUGCUUGGUACCAACUGUGUUGUUUGGUUCUUUCUGGCAGCAGAUGGAGUUGGAUUACAAGAGGUUUAUUGAAGGGUUAUAUCUGUAAGUGAUAAAAUGAUCAGGAUUGUGCUGGGAAAGACUUUAUACUGCGAGGCCUACCUGACAGUCUGGCUCAAUCCAACGAGGAACUCCAGAGUACAGAUUACCCCUAAGAAGAAUCUGGCUGUGGGCAGAAAUGGUCAGGGCCUAAGAACUCUGCUCUGCUCAGUCAUUCUCUGGAGACUACCCAGGAAGAAUGUGGCCUCAGCUGAAAAGUUCAAAAGAGAAGCAGAACCACCAUUCCUCACGUGAAAGAUGGGAUUUAUUAUUGGGGAUGAAACUGAAGGCAGUGGUGGGAGCUGGUGAAAAGGGCAUGGAGGCUGCUUUUUGGUAGCGGAGCUGAAGUCACUGUAGGUCUUCUGGUGUGAAAGUCAGGAAGAAAAGCAGGACAUGAAGGUGAGGGGUGUUCGAGCAAGGAUGAACUGGGCCCACGAAAGCAAGCUGGAGUCCUCGUCUCUUUUUCACCAAUCUCAAAGUUGUGGGUGACCCAUGGAAGGAACUGGCAGUCUUCACUGUGGAGCCACAUACUCAUCUGCCCCAGGACUUGGAGCACUGGGAGGAGGAAAUCUAGAAAGAAAGCCAGGCUUUGAGAACCAGCUGCUGUGAAAAGACAUACAGAAGUCCAAAUUAUAUUAUGAUCAUGGGUCUCUCCCACCUGAUGGUGAAGUGUGGACAGGAACUGGGCCCAAGACUGUGUCAUUCUGUUUGUAGCCCCAGAAUGGUCUCCCUGGUUCAGAGUAAGUAUGUAGGAAAUGUGUUUGAAUGAAAGCCCUAAAUGCAUUAAAAAAAAUACACCUUAAAGCAUUUUAGCUGAAGAAUUAACAAAGCAUCUGUCAUCAAUAAUUUUACUAAAUCAACAGAUAUGCUAAAUGACUUGGCUUAAAAUAAAAAGAUCUGAGAAGGCAACAUGGCUUUAAUUUCAGUGUGUG